GAAAAAGAAAAAAAAAAACAGAAGGGAAGAAAGGAAAGAAACUCUGGAGGAGAGAGAGAGAGAGAGAGAGAGAGAGAGAAUGCAAACAGAAGAAAAAAAAUUCACAGAGAGAGAGCCUCACCCCUGAGAGGCGCCAAAGAUGGUCAAAGAGGUCCUCUCAGAUCAUCCUGCAAAGAGGCAGUAAUAGAAAAAAAAAAAAUUCUUAUUUUCUUGUAAAACUCUUCAGUUUUUAAAAUUCUUUUAAAUUAUUUCUUUCAUUGCUGCCUUUUUGAGUAUGUCUUAUCUUCCUCCCACAUAUCACCACCUCCAUUCUGAACUAAUUUUCUUAUUAAGGGGGAAAAAUAUCAAGUUACACCAGAAUUGAUAUCUUGCCCUCAAGAACAGCAGCUAUAGGCCCCCCUUCAGCCACUUAUUCAUGGUAAAUUCAUUAACCCUUUUUACCUUUUCUUUCUUUUGGAUUGCUUGGUGUUGAGGGUAUUCCUUUAUUCUUGUUGCAGCAUUGUAGUGUCUUCUACGAACAAUGGUAUUUUAUUCUAUUUUCUUAUUUUUUUUGUGGUUCUGUUUUCUCAUUCCAGCUCCAAUUCAUUCUGAGGAGAUUAACCUGCUGAGCCAGGUUAUGUGCAUUUUAGAGGAAAGGGUGUAGAGAAAAUAUAUUGAAGCAAGGAUGAGGGACCCCGAUAUUGUCAUAGCCAAGAAAUGCGAAUUCUUUGUAUUUUUUUUUUUUUUUUUUG
rnacentral:lncRNA from 1 species